rnacentral:rRNA from 1 species
UACGGAGGAUGCAAGCGUUAUCCGGAAUGAUUGGGCGUAAAGCGUCCGCAGGUGGUUGUGUAAGUCUGCUGUUAAAGAGUGAGGCUCAACCUCAUAAAAGCAGUGGAAACUACACGGCUAGAGUGCGUUCGGGGCAGAGGGAAUUCCUGGUGUAGCGGUGAAAUGCGUAGAUAUCAGGAAGAACACCGGUGGCGAAGGCGGCAUCCUGGACCGGCAUUGACGCUGAACAGCGAAAGCCAGGGGAGCAAACGGG